GAGGAGUUUUAUUCUUGCUUAGUUGUUCAGUGUUUGCUUGCUCUAUAUGUAAGUUUUUGCGUGUUUGCUUUAAUCUUUUGUCUCUAGACGGGUUAGAAGAGUCGUGACGAUGAUUUGUUAUUUUCAUUAGUUGUUAUUGGUUAAUUGGGGUCUCCUUUAUCCAGCAAUGCAUUUUAGUUUCGGUUAAAUUUUGUGCCAGCAGCCGCGGUUAUACCUUGGGGGCAUUUGAAUUUGUUUGGUUUGGUAGUUUUAUGUGUAAUUUUUUUAUUUUUAAUGUUUGGUUGUUUUGGGUGAAAUCUUUAUUUUUGUUAGUGUUUGUUGUUUGAUUUGAAGGCUAUGAAACUCUUGUUUGUAGACUAGGAUUAGAUACCCUAUUAUUUUGAGUGUUAAUUUUUUUACCUGAGUAGUAUUAGUUGUGUUCUUGAAACUUAAAGAAUUUGGCGGUAUCCUACUCCGUUCAGAGGAAUCUGUCUCGUUAUCGAUAGUCCGCGUUGGACCUUACUUAGGUUUAAUUUUGGUUUGUAUACCGCCGUUUAUUGAUUAUCUUUUUAGAGUGUCAUGAAUUUUCUGGUUUCUUUAAUUUGAUUUAUUGCAGGUCAAGGUGCAGCUUUUUCUAAGUGUAAUGAUGGAUUACAGUGUUAUGUGUUGUUUGGAUUGUUUGUUUGAAUAUUGGCAUGAAAUUGGAUUUGGUUGUAAUGUUUUGUAGAUUGUUUUCAUGAUAGUUGGUUCUAGGAUAUGUACACAUCGCCCGUCGCUCUCAUUUAAGUUUUUGAUGAGAUAAGUCGUAACAAAGUGGCUGUACCGGAAGGUGUGGCUGGAAUGAU
rnacentral:ncRNA from 1 species